rfam:Oryza brachyantha chromosome 5, whole genome shotgun sequence.
UUUUCGUUUUUCCGUGUACAACGUUUGACCAUUCGUCUUAUUUGAAAUUUUUUCGAUUAAUAUUUUUAUUGUUACUAGAUAAUAAAAUAUGAAUAGUACUUUAUACAUGACUAAUUUUUUUAAGUUUUUUUAUAAAUUUUUUAAAUAAGACGAAUGGUCAAACGUUGGAUACGAAAAAAC